rnacentral:tRNA from 1 species
GGUGUAGCUCAGUUGGUAGAGCGCUUGUUUCCCAUGCACAAGGCCCUGGGUUCAAUCCCCAGCACC